AUUGAACGCUGGCGGCAUGCCUUACACAUGCAAGUCGAACGGCAGCACGGGAGCAAUCCUGGUGGCGAGUGGCGAACGGGUGAGUAAUAUAUCGGAACGUGCCCAGUCGUGGGGAUAACGUAGCGAAAGCUACGCUAAUACGCAUACGAUCUAUGGAUGAAAGCGGGGGAUCGCAAGACCUCGCGCGAUUGGAGCGGCCGAUAUCAGAUUAGGUAGUUGGUGAGGUAAAGGCUCACCAAGCCGACGAUCUGUAGCUGGUCUGAGAGGACGACCAGCCACACUGGGACUGAGACACGGCCCAGACUCCUACGGGAGGCAGCCAGUGGGGAAUACUGGACAAUGGGCGAAAGCCUGAUCCAGCAAUGCCGCGUGC
rnacentral:rRNA from 1 species